rnacentral:lncRNA from 1 species
AACCACUGCUCUGGCACCACAGCAGCUUCUGCCAGAGUCAGAGGGCACUGAGUUUCCUUGAAAGAAAGGAUGGUUGCUGUUUAGAAAAGCAAAGAGGCCUAGAUGCUUAGAAAAUGCCAAGCCUUUCAACUCCCAGGAUUUUUGGCAGAUCAGCAUUUGUGCCAAUUUUUAAAGAGGCUGAGAAAGCUUAUUGUGAAGAAUGAUUUUUAGUUCUAUUUUUUUCAUCUGCUAAUGUUGUGUGUUCAGCCAAAGCAUGAACAGCAUCCCACCAGCCAUAUUGUACUACAUUAUGAAAUUGAGAAUUGCAUUAACAGGAUAAUCUCAUAGAUAUUUCCGAGACAGGAGAAAUGUGCGCAAUCAUUUUCUAAAGGGCAAGGAGAAAAUGGCAUCCAAUUGGACAGCAGUUGAUACCGGAAAAGAAGAGUCCAGCCCAAGUGAGCGUCUGGGCUCCUUUCUGUGACAGACGUCACCCUCCCAGCCAGCCUGCCAGUGCCCCAGCAGCAUAUGCUGUAAUCUGGAAGAUGCGGUUUCUAGUUACCAACCUGAUAUCUCUCUGCAGCAUGAAAAUGAAGUGACUAAUGUCAGAAAAACGAACAAACAAGGUAAACAAACAGGCAAGCAAAUGAACAAACAAAACAAUUUUCUAUGGAUCAAUCUAAAACUCCUACCAAGUUCAGUAUCUUCUGUGUAAGCUUGGUGAGUAAUGGCUCUUUUGAAUAUGUGUUAAUAUACAAUCAAUAGAAAUUUUAUAUGCAU